GCGGCACCGCGGCCUCAGCCUGGCGAAGGCCUUCCAGAUGGUGAAGAGCGCUCGCCCGGUAGCAGAACCGAACCCGGGCUUCUGGUCUCAGCUCCAGAAGUAUGAGGAGGCCCUCCAGGCCCAGUCCUGCCUGCAGGGAGAGCCCCCAGCCUUAGGGUUGGGCCCUGAGGCUUGAAGCUUGAAGGCCUGCUGCCUGGAGGAAGGAUGUCCCUGCACUGAUACAGAAGGCUGGUCUUUACCCUUCUUCCUCACUGUCAUAUCGAGUUUUCCUUUGUGUGUGUGUGUGUGAAACAUAGUGCUUUUAAUUUUAUAUUUCCGGCUGAGGUGAUGCACAAAUUAUCUUACAGACACAAAAAGAAAUACAUUUGGUAAAACAUCGAAGACAAAUUAAGAAAAAGCAAAUAGGGAUCCUCCAUUAUUUACACUCCAGAAUCUUGAGUGUUUGGGGGUGCCGGCGCAUUCUACCAGUCUCAGGGAAGGACAUGAGUACAGACUACAGUAAUCAGAAUCUGAGUCAUAGGUGAAAUCAGGAAAAGCAACUCUUCUUGUGUUUAUUUUUAGUAGUGUCAUAAGAACGGACUAGUUCUUCCUGCGUGACCACGGAUGCUUCUGUUUGAGAAAAUGCAUACCCACGUGGGACAUUUAGAUCAAGAAAGCUGUUGAUGAAGACAUUGUUGAAGGGCAACUUGGGUGAUUGGGGAAUUAUUCUCUUCAUCAGCCCCUCUGCAAUACAGCUGGAGCUGUCCCAUAGGAGUUCGGACAAUUACGGACAUCCUUUUUCUUUCUCUCUUUCUUUUUUUUUGUUUGUUUGUUUGAGACAGAGUCUCUGUUGCCCAGGCUGGAGUGCAGUGGCGCAAUCCCGGCUCACUGCAACCUCCGCCUCCCUGGUUCAAGUGAUUCUCCUGCCUCAGCCUCCUGAGUAGCUGGGACUACAGGUGUGUGACACCAGACCCGGCUAAUUUUUUGUAUUUUUAGUAGAGAUGGGGGGUUUCACCAUGUUAGCCAGGAUGGUCUCAAACUCCUGACCUCGUGAUCCACCCACCUCAGCCUCCCAAAGUGCUGGGAUUACAGGCGUGAGCCACCGUGCCCAGCCUCCUUUUUCUAUUACUAGAGAACUCCAGGACAUUAAGAAUUUCAAAAGUGAUUUUUUCACCCAUGGCUUCUACGGUGACAGAGUAUGGUGUUCCUGUAGGGAAACAAAGCCAAGUUUUUUUGCUCCUUUCACUAAAGCUGCUUCAUCCGGGGAGGAAGCCUGGUAGAUUAUAAUAUUUCCAGGGAUAACAGUGUGGCACACAGAUAACAGGCUGUUUCUGGCAAAGCCUGCCGUGUCUUACAUUUGUCUCUCUAUCCGGAUUAGAUGUUGCUAUAUGAACACAUCGGGACUGUGUCUGCAGGAAGGAGCUCCCCAUUCGAGGCCUUCACAGUGUCACCCACAUUCACCUCUUUCCACUUAAACGUGUCCCAUGAAUCUUGUCAUAACAGUUUUGUGUUCCUUAACUAUUUUGUCUGCCAUGUCAUUUAUGAUGUAUAUAACCUCUUUAAUGCCUGAAAUCAUAAGAAUAAUCAUCAAAGGCAAGAGGGUUGUAUAUUUUCCCGUUGGAGACACAUCUGGAAUUUGCUGCAAUAAAAUAAUAAUAAGAAAGC
rnacentral:lncRNA from 10 species